rnacentral:rRNA from 1 species
UAACACGUGGGAAAUCUGUCCUGCACUCUGGGACAAGCCUUGGAAACGAGGUCUAAUACCGGAUAUGACCGUGGAGCGCAUGCUCUGUGGUGGAAAGCUCCGGCGGUGCAGGAUGAUCCCGCGGCCUAUCAGCUUGUUGGUGGGGUAAUGGCCUACCAAGGCGACGACGGGUAGCCGGCCUGAGAGGGCGACCGGCCACACUGGGACUGAGACACGGUCCAG